AUGAACGCUGGCGGCGUGCCUAAUACCUGCAAGUCGAGCGCACAGACGAGGAGCUUGCUCCUCUGACGUUAGCGGCGGACGGGUGAGUAACACGUGGAUAACCUACCUAUAAGACUGGGAUAACUUCGGGAAACCGGAGCUAAUACCGGAUAAUAUAUUGAACCGCAUGGUUCAAUAGUGAAAGACGGUUUUGCUGUCACUUAUAGAUGGAUCCGCGCCGCAUUAGCUAGUUGGUAAGGUAACGGCUUACCAAGGCAACGAUGCGUAGCCGACCUGAGAGGGUGAUCGGCCACACUGGAACUGAGACACGGUCCAGACUCCUACGGGAGGCAGCAGUAGGGAAUCUUCCGCAAUGGGCGAAAGCCUGACGGAGCAACGCCGCGUGAGUGAUGAAGGUCUUCGGAUCGUAAAACUCUGUUAUUAGGGAAGAACAAAUGUGUAAGUAACUAUGCACGUCUUGACGGUACCUAAUCAGAAAGCCACGGCUAACUACGAG
rnacentral:rRNA from 1 species